UGAGCCGCGCGAAUGCAAAUUUCCGAGGGGAGCAAUCCGGAUUUCGAUGCCGGUCCUUAUUGACUUUUUGCGCGUUCUCGUAUUGCUCGUAAACUCGCGGUAAAUCAAUCGCGGAAGUGUUGCUAAAAAGCACAGGAUAUCCCGACGCGGCGUGUCGAAUCGUGCCGCUGUACUUCGUUAGCGUCGAACCCGCGCUGUUUUCCAGCGGCCGGACAGUCGGAGAUUCCUCGGACGAUGACGGGAUACAAUAAGUGUUUUCUUCCACGAUGACGCGCCGCCGGAUUGGUGUCUCAUUAUUUAGCACGGAAAUCGUGCAACGUGCGCAUCAGCAUUUAUUGACACAGAGACGCGCACC